rnacentral:rRNA from 1 species
AGUGAACGCUGGCGGUAGGCCUAACACAUGCAAGUCGAACGGCAGCACAGUAAGAGCUUGCUCUUACGGGUGGCGAGUGGCGGACGGGUGAGGAAUACAUCGGAAUCUACUUUUUCGUGGGGGAUAACGUAGGGAAACUUACGCUAAUACCGCAUACGACCUACGGGUGAAAGCAGGGGAUCUUCGGACCUUUCGCGAUUGAAUGAGCCGAUGUCGGAUUAGCUAGUUGGCGGGGUAAAGGCCCACCAAGGCGGCGAUCCGUAGCUGGUCUGAGAGGAUGAUCAGCCACACUGGAACUGAGACACGGUCCAGACUCCUACGGGAGGCAGCAGUGGGGAAUAUUGGACAAUGGGCGCAAGCCUGAUCCAGCAAUACCGCGUGGGUGAAGAAGGCCUUAGGGUUGGAAAGCCCUUUUGUUGGGAAAGAAAAGCAGCAGGUUAAUACCCCGCUGUUCUGACGGUACCCAAAGAAUAAGCACCGGCUAACUUCGUG